UACGUAGGGUGCGAGCGUUAAUCGGAAUUACUGGGCGUAAAGCGUGCGCAGGCGGUUCGGAAAGAAAGAUGUGAAAUCCCAGGGCUUAACCCUGGAACUGCACUUUUAACUCCCGGGCUAGAGUGUGUCAGAGGGGGGUAGAAUUCCACGUGUAGCAGUGAAAUGCGUAGAGAUUCGGAGGAACACCGGUGGCGAAGGCGGCCUGCUGGGCAGUGUCUGACGCUGAGGCGCGACAGCGUGGGGAGCAAACAGG
rnacentral:rRNA from 1 species